UGCCACAGUCAUAUCACCCUGCAGCCACUGAGAGUGGUUACUCACUGAAGCUAAGCAGGGCUGAGCUUGGUAAGUACCUGGAUGGGAGACCACAUGGGAAAGCUGUUAGAGAGGCCA
ensembl:rRNA 5S_rRNA 5S ribosomal RNA